rnacentral:rRNA from 1 species
CAAUAGCGUAUAUUAAAGUUGUUGCGGUUAAAAAGCUCGUAGUUGGAUUUCUGAAUGGAUGCCGAUGCCCGCCUGUUGGCGUGUGCAAAGGUGCCCGUUCAUCCUUCUGUUAAGGUUUCUUAGUAUUCAUUUACUGGUUUCCGGCUCAGAUAUUUUACCUUGAAUAAAUUAGAGUGUUUCAGGCAAGCUUGGUCUUGAAUACAUUAGCAUGGAAUAAUAGAAUAGGACUCUAGAUCCUUUGUUGGUUUCUGGAUUUGGAGUAAUGAUUAAUAGGGAUAGUUGGGGGCAUUAGUAUUUAAUUGUCAGAGGUGAAAUUCUUGGAUUUAUUAAAGACUAACUUAUGCGAAAGCAUUUGCCAAGGAUGUUUUCAUUAA